rnacentral:lncRNA from 1 species
UUGUAUAAUCGGUCUUAUAAACCAACCAAGGCAUGAAUAUAUAAACAAUAUUUUAUGUGAACCGAGGAUAGAAUCAUAACGAAGUUUUCCUAAAACCAAUGGAUUGAUCGUCUUUUUAUCAAUUGAAUUUCUAAUACUCUUUCGAUCUAAACAAACUCAAAACCCCCUUCUAAUUGUGUUAUUCAUUGUUCUUAUUUUUACUAAUUAUUAAAUUAGAGGUCCUUGUGAGACGACCAAGGUUAACUACCUUGUUACUACUUUUCUUAAUUAAAACUUAUUUUGAUCACGAAACGACAGUGAUCAAAUUGGCGC